rnacentral:misc_RNA from 1 species
GCAAACUUGGUCAUUUAGAGGAAGUAAAAGUCGUAACAAGGUCUCCGUUGGUGAACCAGCGGAGGGAUCAUUAAAGAGUUGUAAAACUCCCAAACCCACUGUGAACAUACCUCUGUUGCCUCGGCGGCCCUCUUUGGGGGUCGCCGAAGGACUUUAAAACUCUGUUUUAUAUGUCAUCUCUGAGAAAAUACAUAAUAAGUCAAAACUUUCAACAACGGAUCUCUUGGUUCUGGCAUCGAUGAAGAACGCAGC